CCUACGGGUGGCAGCAGUGGGGAAUAUUGGACAAUGGGGGCAACCCUGAUCCAGCCAUGCCGCGUGUGUGAAGAAGGCCCUCGGGUUGUAAAGCACUUUCAGUGAGGAAGAACGCCUGGUGGUUAAUAUCCAUCAGGAAAGACAUCACUCACAGAAGAAGCACCGGCUAACUCCGUGCCAGCAGCCGCGGUAAUACGGAGGGUGCGAGCGUUAAUCGGAAUUACUGGGCGUAAAGCGCGCGUAGGUGGCUUGAUAAGCCGGUUGUGAAAGCCCCGGGCUCAACCUGGGAACGGCAUCCGGAACUGUCAAGCUAGAGUGCAGGAGAGGAAGGUAGAAUUCCCGGUGUAGCGGUGAAAUGCGUAGAGAUCGGGAGGAAUACCAGUGGCGAAGGCGGCCUUCUGGACUGACACUGACACUGAGGUGCGAAAGCGUGGGUAGCAAACAGGAUUAGAUACCCCAGUAGUC
rnacentral:rRNA from 1 species